rnacentral:rRNA from 1 species
UUCCAGACUCCUACGGGAGGCAGCAGUGAGGAAUAUUGGUCAAUGGGCGCGAGCCUGAACCAGCCAAGUCGCGUGAGGGAUGACGGCCCUACGGGUUGUAAACCUCUUUUGUCGGGGAGCAAAUUCCGUUACGUGUAACGGAGUCGAGAGUACCCGAAGAAAAAGCAUCGGCUAACUCCGUGCCAGCAGCCGCGGUAAUACGGAGGAUGCGAGCGUUAUCCGGAUUUAUUGGGUUUAAAGGGUGCGUAGGCGGACGCUUAAGUCAGCGGUAAAAUUGCGGGGCUCAACCUCGUCGAGCCGUUGAAACUGGGUGCCUUGAGUGGGCGAGAAGUACGCGGAAUGCGUGGUGUAGCGGUGAAAUGCAUAGAUAUCACGCAGAACUCCGAUUGCGAAGGCAGCGUACCGGCGCCCAACUGACGCUGAAGCACGAAGGCGUGGGUAUCGAACAGGAUUAGAUACCCCUGUAC